rnacentral:rRNA from 1 species
UAAAAAGCUCGUAGUCGGAGGUGUGUCUCGGACGGUCGGUUCGCCGCUUGUCGGUGCUCAACUGGCCGGUCCGGACGUCCUGCCGGUGGGGCUGUAAAAGGCUCCGUUAUCCUUCUUUGGUCCUCUUCAUUGAGUGCCUUGGUGGGCCGGCACGUUUACUUUGAACAAAUUAGAGUGCUCAAAGCAGGCCGUUGGUCGCCUGAAUACUGUGUGCAUGGAAUAAUGGAAAAGGACCUCUGUUCCAUUUUGUUGGUUUUCAGAACUAGAGGUAAUGAUUAAUAGGGACGGACGGGGGCAUUCGUAUUGCGACGUUAGAGGUGAAAUUCUUGGAUCGUCGCAAGACGAACCGAUGCGAAAGCAUUUGCCAAGAACGUUUUCGUUGAUCAAGAACGAAAGUUAGAGGUUCGAAGGCGAUCAGAUACCGCCCUAGUUCUAACCAUAAACGAUGCCAGCUAGCCAUCCGCCGAAGUUCCUUAUAUGACUCGGCGGGCAGCUUCCGGGAAACCAAAGCUCUUGGGUUCCGGGG